CCUACGGGUGGCAGCAGUGAGGAAUAUUGGUCAAUGGGCGCGAGUCUGAACCAGCCAUGCAGCGUGAAGGAUGACUGCCCUACGGGUUGUAAACUUCUUUUAUAAAAGAAUAAAGUGAGGCACGUGUGCCUUUUUGUAAGUACUUUAUGAAUAAGGAUCGGCUAACUCCGUGCCAGCAGCCGCGGUAAUACGGAGGAUCCGAGCGUUAUCCGGAUUUAUUGGGUUUAAAGGGAGCGUAGAUGGGUGGAUAAGUUAGUUGUGAAAUUGUGCGGCUCAACCGUAGAAUUGCAUUUGAUACUGGUAGGCUAGAGUGUAGUUGAGGUAGGCGGAAUGCGUGGUGUAGCGGUGAAAUGCUUAGAGAUCACGAAGAACACCGAUUGCGAAGGCAGCCUACUAAGCUGCCACUGACGUUGAGGCACGAAAGUGUGGGUAUCAAACAGGAUUAGAUACCCGUGUAGUC
rnacentral:rRNA from 1 species